rnacentral:rRNA from 1 species
CCUACGGGUGGCAGCAGUGGGGGAUAUUGGACAAUGGGGGGAACCCUGAUCCAGCGACGCCGCGUGAGUGAAGAAGUAUCUCGGUAUGUAAAGCUCUAUCAGCAGGGAAGAAGAAAGGACGGUACCUGAGUAAGAAGCCCCGGCUCACGACGUGCCAGCAGCCGCGGUAAUACGUAGGGGGCAAGCGGUAUCCGGAAUUACUGGGUGUAAAGGGAGCGUAGACGGUGAUGUAGGUCUGGAGUGAAAGGCGGGGGCCCCACCCCCGGACUGCUCUGGAAACGAUGGGACUGGUGUGCAGGAGAGGUGAGCGGCAUUCCUAGUGUAGCGGUGAAAUGCGUCGAUAUUAGGAGGAACACCAGUGGCGAAGGCGGCUCACUGGACUGUACCUGACGUUGAGGCUCGACCGCGUGGGGAGCAAACAGGAUUAGAUACCCGAGUAGUC